GAGUUUGAUCUUGGCUCAGAGCGAACGUUUGCGGCGGGCCUAACACAUGCAAGUCGAACGGGAUCCAGGCUUCGGCCUGGUGAGAGUGGCGGACGGGUGAGUAACGCGUGGGAACCUGCCCAAUGGUCUGGGAUAACCGCGGGAAACUGCGGCUAAUACCGGAUAAGCCCGAGAGGGGAAAGAUUUAUCGCCGAUGGAGGGGCCCGCGUCCGAUUAGGUAGUUGGUGGGGUAACGGCCUACCAAGCCUACGAUCGGUAGCUGGUCUGAGAGGAUGAUCAGCCACACUGGGACUGAGAUACGGCCCAGACUCCUACGGGAGGCAGCAGUGGGGAAUAUUGGACAAUGGGGGCGAACCCUCGAUCCAGCAAUGCCGCGUGAGUGAUGAAGGCCUUAGGGUUGUAAAGACUCUUUUGGUCGGGGACGGAUGAUGACGGUACCCGCCAGAAUAAGCCCCGGCCUAACUUCGUGCCA
rnacentral:rRNA from 1 species